UGAUUAAAGGUGAAUUCCCUGGCAGACGAGGAGGCACUGAGAACAGUCCUCCCUCUGGUUAACCAUUCACCUGUGCUAAAGCUUCCAGAGGAGGGGCCUGGCUCUCGGGUCCCACAGCCCUCCCCCACCCUCUGCCCAAGCCUGUACAUUUCCCACUGUCACUCUUACUCCCAUUUUGGGGCAACAUCUGGAAAGGGACUCUGAAGGGCCACCAGGGAAGUCACACUGGCACUUCAUGUCGACAAGAUCGGGGCAGCUGGGCUACAGAGUUUCAAGUAGCCUUUAGGCAACUGGAGCUUCUCAGGACUAAACUCCUAUUGGAGCUCUGCCUGUGUAUGGGUCUUCCAGAGGGGAGAAGCAGAGAGGAGGGGCCACGUGGUCAUUCAACAAACGGUCCCAGUGGCAAGCUGGGGAUAGAAGCUCGAGAGGAAGAGACCCACGGUUCUGGAACCACGGCUUGCCCGUUCUUCUCCAGCUGGUGAGGGAUGUAGCAGAAGCCUAUGGACAGCCUGGCUGCUGCCACCAGGCAGAGUGCACGGGGCCACUGAGGGAGUCAUUGGGAGAAGAAGCCCAAGGCAUUCUCAACCCAGGGGUACAAGCAGAGCUGGACCAACCUCAAACUGGAGUUUUACUGAAGGAGACAAUGGAAGGGUACCAGGGGCAAAGAGUGUAAGGACUCGAACAAGAAAGCAACUCAGCCAGUUAUAUUAGAGCUGGACUUGCAAAAUAUGUAUGUGAGCUCAUCAGACUCCUUGCUCAGCAGCUAUCACAGGGAACUGAACUAAUACCUGCUUAGUUAACCAUGUUUUAAAACAGACCUUCUCAAGUUUUACUAUGCACAGGGCAAGGUGGGGGGCUUGUUAAAAUGCAGAGGCUGGGCAGAGGGUGUGGCUCAGUGGAGCAGUGCUUGCCUAGUAUGUCCAGGGUCCUGAGUUCAGUCCUCAGCACUGAAGGAAACCCCCCCCCCCAAAUUCUGAUGUUAAUAGAGUAGGGCUGGAUGGGGCCUGAGACCCUGCAUUUUUCUCUUCUCUCUCUCUCCCUCUCUCUUUCUCUCCCUCUCCCCACUUUGCUAUGGUAGGGAUUUAACCCAGGAUUUCACACAUGCCAAGCACAUGGUCUACCACUGAGCUACACCCCCGAUCAAUUCUGUAUUUCUAAUCAGCACUUGAGUAAUGAUGUUGCUGGUCUGCAGACCGCUGUCUUCUAAAAAGUGAAUUUAUUUUUAAUUAA